rnacentral:rRNA from 1 species
UGGGGAAUAUUGCACAAUGGGCGCAAGCCUGAUGCAGCCAUGCCGCGUGUGUGAAGAAGGCCUUCGGGUUGUAAAGCACUUUCAGCGGGGAGGAAGGCGUUAAGGUUAAUAACCUUGGCGAUUGACGUUACCCGCAGAAGAAGCACCGGCUAACUCCGUGCCAGCAGCCGCGGUAAUACGGAGGGUGCAAGCGUUAAUCGGAAUUACUGGGCGUAAAGCGCACGCAGGCGGUCUGUCAAGUCGGAUGUGAAAUCCCCGGGCUCAACCUGGGAAAUGCAUUCGAAACUGGCAGGCUAGAGUGUUGGAGAGGGGGGUAGAAUUCCAGGUGUAGCGGUGAAAUGCGUAGAGAUCUGGAGGAAAACCGGUGGCGAAGGCGGCCCCCUGGACAAAGACUGACGCUCAGGUGCGAAAGCGUGGGGAGCAAACAGG